CCAGUGAAAUAAAAGCUCCACCAGGAGAAAAAGUUUUCUCUCCGAGCAGCUGCUGCUACAAGGAGCUUGCUCAUUAACUAAUGUAAGCCAUGCACGUUAUUCACUACUACUAAUAUCAACUUAAAUGCAACGUGCAAUUUGCAAAGAAAAUAUUCACAUUUGAGAGGAGAUUAUUUUAAAAAUAAAUACUUGCAAAAGUGUGUGUGUGUGUGUGUGUGUGUGUGUUUGUGUGAUGAAGGGUCAUACAGGAUGGAGAUUGAUAUCAAUAAAUUGUAACAACAGCACCAAAGAUAGGAUGAUAAAUGAAGGUUUUAUUUUCUGAGGAGCCAUAUCCUUUGGCUCCACGCCGAGAAGCAACAGGUGCUGUGGUGGUAAUAAUUUCAUCAAACGUAGACUUCUUCAACGGUCCAUUAUGGAGUUUUAUAAUCAAGAACUGAGCAACACGAUCCCCAAGUUCAACUUGAUAUGGAAGUUUCCCAUGGUUGAUUAGCAUAACCCCCAAAGUUCCUUCAAAAUCUUCAUCGACCACGCCCCCCAUGACGUCAAUUUUAUGCCGCAACGCUAACCCAGACCUUGGUUUAAUCAAACCAACAUGGCCCAACGUACAAAUCAUAACCAGCAGAUUGAGGGUGCAACUUUGUUGGAAAUUUACUUUCAAAGGUCUUCCUAAUAAAGUGGACCGUUCUAUAGUCAUCUAGAAGGAAAUCAACUACUACAUUCAAUCCAUAUAAUGAGAGAUACCAUCAAAACGGGAUACCAAAAAUUGUCAGGCAAGAAGUGAAAAAACUGUACGCCCUGAUUAGAAUCUACUUCCUCUGACCACCAACAA